rnacentral:rRNA from 1 species
UACGAAGGGGGCUAGCGUUGCUCGGAAUCACUGGGCGUAAAGCGCACGUAGGCGGAUUCUUAAGUCGGGGGUGAAAUCCUGGAGCUCAACUCCAGAACUGCCUUCGAUACUGGCGAUCUCGAGUCCGGGAGAGGUGAGUGGAACUGCGAGUGUAGAGGUGAAAUUCGUAGAUAUUCGCAAGAACACCAGUGGCGAAGGCGGCUCACUGGCCCGGUACUGACGCUGAGGUGCGAAAGCGUGGGGAGCAAACAGG